rnacentral:lncRNA from 1 species
GCCUGAUCUUGUGUGAUUUACUUUGUACCAACACCCCAUGACCCAGAUGACUUGGCCAAGGUCAUCAGCCAAAGCCAGGCCUCUGGGUCUAACUACCGGCAGGCUGACAAGGCAUACAGGUCAGCGGGCAAAGCAACGGAGGGAGACCCCAUACGUUCUGCUUGACCUGUUGUCUUGCUCUUUGUCCCUUCUGGGAUUUUCUCAGCUCCCACCUCUGGGUGCCUGGUCCCUAAAGCCCCUCUCAAAUGACAAUGUGGCAUCCACCCUGGGACGAUGGCGUCUCCAUGGCAGGUCUUGAAGAGCAAGAACGCCUCGGAAGAGAGAAGAGCAGACGUUUAUAGGUGGCCAGGUGGGAGACACACGUCGAGGCUCCACGGGACUCAGGCUCCUGACUGCUUCCUUCCAGCUGUAGCUUGUUUUCUUCAAGUUCCCUCAUGGUCUGUGGUGACUUCCAAAGGCCUUGGAAGGAGGACAGAAAAUAGGACAAAGAAAGGGCUUUUCCCAGCUAAUAACCUCUUUCAUGCAGACUUCUGAGGUAUCCUGGAUAACUCUGCCACCUGCUUCUGGUUGCUGUCAUUCAUUCAUAUGUCCAUAUUUGGCCACAGAGGUCCCUGAGAGUGGUGGUUUGGAUGACAAACAACCCCUGUACACUCACAUAUUUGAACAUUGGGUCCAAACAUACCCGGUACACUCACAUAUUUGAACAGUUGGUCUUCCGUCAGUGCUCUGUAUGGGGGAAGCCAAGGAAUGUGAAGGGACCCAUCCGUUUCCUCUCUAGCCACCUGUGGCCACGCCCCUCCCAACAUUACGGAUUAUUCCCCUGGAACCAUAAGUCUAAAUAAACUCUCCCUUCUCUAAGUUGCUUCAGGGCAUGGCAUUUUCUGCCAACAACAGAAAAGUAUCUAAUACAUUAGGAAAUAUAGCUGUGUUGAGGAGACGGUUGGGGGACUUAGCGACGGAAGAAUGUUUACGUUAAUAGCCAACUGUGGUCCAUUGGCCAAAUGCGGUCUUCUAGACAGAUGGUUUGUCAACAAAGUUUUAUUGGUACAAAGCUAAGCUCGUUCAUUUAUAUAUCAUCUAUGGCCUUUUUUUUUUAUUAUAGACCAAUAACAUUUGGUCUACGAAGCUUAAAUGACUUACUUAUUAUCUGACACAGCAAAGGUAUACUAACUUCUGGAAUAGACAAGCAGCAAAUUAUACUUUGUGUGCAUAGCCCACGGCCAGGAAUUGAGCUUAACACAAAGGUCUCUGAGUGUGAUCCCAUUAUCAAGCAGCUCCCAGGGCUGGGGACUUGGCAGUCAAGCAAUUGCUAAUUAUACUGUGUGAUGACCAGGAUCAAAGUGUGGCAUUCAGGGUUCUAAGAGACCACAUAGGCAGACUGUGGAGAGAGACGUUUCCAGAUGGGCUUAAAAGAAGAUUCACCCCUGUAUUCCUAGGACUUGAGAGACUGAGACAGGAGGAAUGUUGUAUGCUUGAGGCCAGCCUAGGCUACAAAGGGAAUGCCAGGCUACACUGGGCUGCAGAACAAGAAUCUGUCUCCAAAGAAGCAAAAUAAAACAAAGAAACCAAAAUCAGCACCAAAAUUUCAUUUUAUUAUGUGUUCAUCCCAGUGCACGUCACAGUCAC